rnacentral:rRNA from 1 species
CGGGACGGGGUGGAGUAAUGUCUGGGAAACGUGCCUGAUGAGGGGGGAUAACUACUGGAAACGGUAGCUAAUACCGCAUAACGUCGCAAGACCAAAGAGGGGGACCUUAGGGCCUCUUGCCAUCGGAUGUGCCCAGAUGGGAUUAGCUAGUAGGUGGGGUAACGGCUCACCUAGGCGACGAUCCCUAGCUGGUCUGAGAGGAUGACCAGCCACACUGGAACUGAGACACGGUCCAG